rnacentral:rRNA from 1 species
CCUAACACAUGCAAGUCGAGCGGCAGCACGGGUUACUUGUUACCUGGUGGCGAGCGGCGGACGGGUGAGUAAUGCCUAGGAAUCUGCCUAGUANUGGGGGAUAACGUUCGGAAACGGACGCUAAUACCGCAUACGUCCUACGGGAGAAAGUGGGGGAUCUUCGGACCUCACGCUAUUAGAUGAGCCUAGGUCGGAUUANCUAGUUGGUAGGGUAAAGGCCUACCAAGGCUACGAUCCGUAACUGGUCUGAGAGGAUGAUCAGUCACACUGGAACUGAGACACGGUCCANACUCCUACGGGAGGCAGCAGUGGGGAAUAUUGGACAAUGGGCGAAAGCCUGAUCCAGCCAUGCCGCGUGUGUGAAGAAGGUCUUCGGAUUGUAAAGCACUUUAAGUUGGGAGGAAGGGCANUAAGCUAAUAUCUUGCUGUUUUGACGUUNCCGACAGAAUAAGCACCGGCUAACUCUGUGCCAGCAGCCGCGGUAAUACAGAGGGUGCAAGCGUUAAUCGGAAUUACUGGGCGUAAAGCGCGCGUAGGUGGUUGGUUAANUUGAAUGUGAAAUCCCCGGGCUCAACCUGGGAACUGCAUCCAAAACUGGCC